CCUACGGGGGGCAGCAGUGAGGAAUAUUGGUCAAUGGGCUUACGCCUGAACCAGCCAAGUCGCGUGAGGGAAGACUGCCCUAUGGGUUGUAAACCUCUUUUGUCAGGGAGCAAUUGGCGCUACGUGUAGCGUUAUCGAGAGUACCUGAAGAAAAAGCAUCGGCAAACUCCGUGCCAGCAGCCGCGGUAAUACGGGGGAUGCGAGGGUUAUCCGGAUUUAUUGGGUUUAAGGGGUGCGUAGGCGGAAUGCCAAUCCAGCGGGAAAAUCGCGGGGCUCAACCUCGCUCCGCCGUUGAAACUGGCGUUCUUGAGUGGGCGAGAAGUAUGCGGAAUGCGUGGUGUAGCGGUGAAAUGCAUAGAUAUCACGCAGAACUCCGAUUGCGAAGGCAGCAUACCGGCGCCCAACUGACGCUGAAGCACGAAAGCGUGGGUAUCGAACAGGAUUAGAUACCCCGGUAGUC
rnacentral:rRNA from 1 species